AGUGAACGCUGGCGGUAGGCCUAACACAUGCAAGUCGAACGGCAGCACAGUAAGAGCUUGCUCUUACGGGUGGCGAGUGGCGGACGGGUGAGGAAUACAUCGGAUUCUACUUUUUCGUGGGGGAUAACGUAGGGAAACUUCCGCUAAUACCGCAUACGACCUACGGGUGAAAUCAGGAGAUCUUCGGACCUUGCGCGAUUGAAUGAGCCGAUGUCGGAUUAGCUAGUUGGCGGGGUAAAGGCCCACCAAGGCGACGAUCCGUAGCUGGUCUGAGAGGAUGAUCAGCCACACUGGAACUGAGACACGGUCCAGACUCCUACGGGAGGCAGCAGUGGGGAAUAUUGGACAAUGGGCGCAAGCCUGAUCCAGCCAUACCGCGUGGGUGAAGAAGGUCUUCGGGUUGUAAAGCCCUUUUGUUGGGAAAGAAAAGCAGCAGGUUAAUACCCCGCUGUUCUGACGGUACCUAAAGAAUAAGCAACGGCUAACUUCGUG
rnacentral:rRNA from 1 species